rnacentral:rRNA from 1 species
GCCUACGGGGCGCAGCAGUGAGGAAUAUUGGUCAAUGGGCGCGAGCCUGAACCAGCCAAGUAGCGUGAAGGAUGACUGCCCUACGGGUUGUAAACUUCUUUUCUAAAGGAAUAAAGUGAGGCACGUGUGCCUUUUUGUAUGUAUUUUAUGAAUAAGGAUCAGCUAACUCCGUGCCAGCAGCCGCGGUAAUACGGAGGAUCCGAGCGUUAUCCGGAUUUAUUGGGUUUAAAGGGAGCGUAGAGGGGUUGUUAAGUCAGUUGUGAAAGUUUGCGGCUCAACGGAAAAAUGGCAAUUG